CACGUAGGGCGCAAGCGUUGUCCGGAAUUAUUGGGCGUAAAGAGCUCGUAGGCGGUCUGUUACGUCUGCUGUGAAAACCCAGGGCUUAACCCUGGGCUGCAGUGGAUACGGGCAGACUAGAGGCAGGUAGGGGAGAAUGGAAUUCCCGGUGUAGCGGUGAAAUGCGUAGAUAUCGUAAGGAAGACCAGUGGCGAAGGCGGGUCUCUGGACAGUUCCUGACGGCUGAGGCAACGGAAGGUCCAGGGGGAGGCAAAACGGGGA
rnacentral:rRNA from 1 species